GGCUCUUACUCUGGAUUCCUAGAGUCUUCAGAUCAUGAGACAGAUCAUGGCAGGGAAGGGGUGUGAGGAAUCCUCGGUCAUGGAGCUCCUUAAGGAAGCAGAGGAGAUGAAACAGAACUUGGAAAGGAAAAACAAGAUGCUUCGGAAGGAAAUGGAGAUGCUAUGGAACAAGACAUUCGAGGCAGAAGAACUUAGUGAUCAACAAAAAGCACCACAGACAAAAAACAAGGCAGACUUGCAGGAUGGAAAGAGGCUCUUUCUUCCACCAGGAAAAGCAACAGAGGAAAAUGGAAUGGGUCAAGUAUCAGGAACAAAAUAACAUCCUUCAGAAUGAUUUUCAUGGCAAAGUGAUUGAGCUGAGAAUUGAAGCCUUGAAGAACUACCAGAAGGCCAAUGACCUGAAAUUAUCACUGUAUUUGCAGCAGAAUUUUGAGCCAAUGCAAGCAUUUUUAAAUCUUCCUGGGUCCCAAGCAUUUCCUUGAGCUCUUCUGAGAAAAACCUGAACGUUGGAUGUACUAUGGGCAUUACAACUAUGGACAGAGUGACUACUGGCAGAAAUGAACACCAUGUGAGAAUUCUGGGAACAAAGAUCUACACAGAACAACAAGGAACUAAAGGAAGUCAGCUUGAUAAUACAGGAGGGAGACUCUUUUUUCUGAGGUCAUUGCCAGAUGAAGCACUGAAGAAUUAGCAGGCUUUCGCUCCAUUUGCUUUGGACAGAUUUAAAGACUAGGCACAGCCAUUUGUGUUAAUUAAAAUCUCUCGC
rnacentral:lncRNA from 1 species